rnacentral:rRNA from 1 species
CUACGGGGGGCUGCAGUGGGGAAUAUUGCACAAUGGGGGAAACCCUGAUGCAGCAACGCCGCGUGGAGGAUGACGCAUUUCGGUGUGUAAACUCCUUUUAUAUAGGAAGAUAAUGACGGUACUAUAUGAAUAAGCACCGGCUAACUCCGUGCCAGCAGCCGCGGUAAUACGGAGGGUGCAAGCGUUACUCGGAAUCACUGGGCGUAAAGCGUGCGCAGGCGGCCUUUUAAGUUGGAUGUGAAAGCCUAUGGCUUAACCAUAGAACUGUAUCCAAAACUAUCAGGCUAGAGUCUAGGAGGGGAAGAUGGAAUUAGUUGUGUAGGGGUAAAAUCCGUAGAGAUAACUAGGAAUACCAAAAGCGAAGGCGAUCUUCUGGAACAGUACUGACGCUGAGGCGCGAAAGCGUGGGGAGCAAACAGGAUUAGAUACCCGAGUAGUC